UAAAAAUUUGAUUUUAGUUUUUAAAUUUAAUUUAUAUUUUAAUUAUAUGUAAAUUUUUGUGGUGUAAGUUAUUUAAGAUAGUAAUUUAUUUUUUAUUGAGCAAUAAUAAAUUUUAUAUAAUAAAAGAAAUUUUGAUAUAGAAAUAUAUAAUAAUAUUGAUAAAAUUUGUGCCAGCAAUCGCGGUUAAACAAGUGAUAUAAUUAAAUUUUAUUUAACAAUAAUAAAUAAGUUUAUUAUUAAUUAAAAAUUAGGUUUAUUAGGUGAAAUUAUAAAUUUAAAUAAAGUUAAUUAAUAAGAUUAUGAAGUUAUGAAGUUCUAUUAUUAAACUAGGAUUAGAUACCCUAUUAUAAAGAAUAUAAAUUAUAAUGUUAGGGGAGUAAUAGUUAUUAUCUUGAAAUUUAAAAAAUUUGGCGGUAUUUUAGUCUUUUCAGAGGAACCUGUCCUAUAAUCGAUAAUCCACGAUUAAUUAUACUUAAUUUAUUAGUUUAUAUAUCGUCGUAGUUAGAAUAUCUUUAAAAAGAAUAAAUAUUCAUGAUUUAUAAUUUAAUAAAAAAAAUCAGAUAAAGGUGUAGCUUAUAAUUAAGGAGAGAUGGGUUACAAUAAAUUUAUUUAAAUUGAAUAUAAUAUUUAAAAUUAUUAUUGAAAUUGGAUUUGAGAGUAAUUAAUUUUAUUUAAAAUUAGUGAUUUUAGCUCUAAAAUAUGUACAUAUCGCCCGUCGCUUUCAUUGAAAAUUAAAUUGAAAUAAGUCGUAACAUAGUGGGUGUACCGGAAGGUGUACCUAGUUUGAU
rnacentral:ncRNA from 1 species